GCCCAGCCUCUUCAUCUUCUUCCAGCGCCUGAGGCUCGGACACACCUGGGAGCAGCGUGGCCCAUUCACUAAGCGCUUUGGCGAAGGUCACCAUCAGCCAGGGACAGAAGCUCAGACCGAAGGGCCGGCUUCCCAGGGCAGCUGUCCAGCACGUGGUGACCCGAGACCCAGGCCAUCUUCGUCUCUUGGUUCUGCUGGAGGAGAUCUGUGCGGUACCUCUCAUGGGCUUCCCAAGUGCUGCUUUGGUGCCAGCUUCCCUGUUGAGUGCGGAGGACCCCGACAGAAAUAGCAGUGAUGGCCUCUUCGACUCACGUGCUGCAGGCCUUGCAGCCAUGGAAAGGAGCACCUCCUCAUCACCUCUGGCCCUCACACUGCUGGGAUCCCCUCACUCUACCUGACACAGCCUGGUGUUUUAAACCCCACUACAAUUCUGGUGUCCUUCACAAGCCCUGCCUGGCCCCUGUUCUGAUUCAUACUGAUAUCUUCUAAAGGGCUAUGGUCACUUUCUUCCCCCUGGACUUCUGACCUCCUGCUGGCAUCAUCCACCAAUGUUUCUCCCAUCCUGGUCACCAGAGUGGACUUCCCUA